CUUUCUGGUCCAGAGCCCCCACAGGAAGGUUAGAUACCGAUCAAAUUCAACCAUUUUCUUUUUUCACUGCACAUACUUAAAACCUUAUAGGGGUGAUGGCUUGCUAACUCCUGUUGCAAGACUCCUCUUACUCCCAGCACCAGCGAUGGCCACUUAUUAUCUCAGACGGAUGGUUGUAUGCCUGCCGGUCCUUCACUCGAUGAGAACCAGCUUGGGGGUUCUUCCCUUCUCGUGCUCAUUAUGUCAGAGGGACAGAUUUCUAAUCGCUUGACCAUGGCUUGACAAAUGCCCAGCAUACCUGGAGGCCCUCUUUCCUGCCUUCAUGUCUACCUACUCUAACAUUACAAAGCAUCCCCAAUAUAUUGGCUUUUCUACUCCCGAAAACACCAAAGCUCCCCACAGCUCCCACACUAGUGAUACCCCCUCUUCUCUGAGAAACAGCAGAACCAAACAGGGGUCUUGUACAUUCCAAUCACCAAUUGCCCCAAGUUACCUCUGUUCACCUAUUAUCUGUCUUUCCCCUUCUCAAGUCCUGUCAGGGAGCCCCUCCAGAUAUACUCUGAACCCAGGCCUCCUACUAUUCAACAACUUCAUUCCAGUAAUUGUCCCCUUUCGCUUUUCUACCAUUUAUAUAUAUAUAUAUAUGUGUGUGUGUAUACACACACAUAUCUAUAUCUAUAUCUAUAUCUAUAUAUCCUUUUUUUUUUUUUGGCUGGAUAAGUCUCAUCACCAUGCAAACAUCUAGCAUCCAAAAAAAAAAAAAAAAAUAGGCCAGGGAGUUUGGCUCAGGCCAACUUUAUAUCUGUAAGCUCUGCCUCAAUAUCUGUGUGGAGAAGAGUGACGACAGACUGACACAGGCAGCCAAGGUGUUGGAGCAACUCACAGGCCAGACCCCUGUGUUUUCCAAAACUAGAUGCACUGUCAGAUCUUUUGUUUUCAGGAGAAAUGAAAAGAUUACUGUUGACUGCACAGUUCCAGGGGCCAAGGCAGAAGAAAUCCUGGAGAAAGGUCCAAAGACAGCGAUCUCCUGGACAUGAAAGAUGGACAAGCUGAUACCCAGCUUGAGCUCUCAAGAGAACAGAAAGGCGUCUCACACUCUCCACAAAGCUAGAAACAAACAACACUGUGGAGGAUUUUUACUGGUCAUACAUUGGGUCAUGUGCCCUUCCCUGAGCCAAUCUGCAGUCAGAAGGAUGAAGUACUCUAAUUGGCCAGUUUUGGGUCACGUGCCUGUUCCUGGCUGUCAUUGCACCAACACAUCAGGGAAUGGGGAGUUGAGGAGUGAGGAGCUUCCCCUACACAGAGAGACGGUGGGUAGCCCAUUUGUCCGCUAAAACCUUCAAGAUACAUCUAGAAUGCAUCCAUCCACAUCGUGCUAGGCUGAGCUACUAUCACCUGGUACUUGGAACCGCCUCCUCACUGGUCUACCGUCUCCCUUGCAAACAUUUUCUACAACAGCCAGUAAUCCCUAAACAUGAAUCCCAUCACAUCACUCUCUUCCUGUGCUCAGCUUCCCAUUCUCAAGGGAAGUCCUCCCAUCUUCUAAAGAAUAUCUACCUACCCAGCCCAAUUAUAUAUGAGCUUUUUAGGUUUUUUUUUUUAGAGCAAAGGAAUGACAGGUUUUGUCAAGCUGCAGGUGACUAUAAGAUACAGACAGCUGACAAUUGUGGACUCCUCAGGCGUGGUGAAAGAUUGAGCUACUAUCAUUAGGGUUGGCUGGCUAGGACCCCGGCAGGCACCUGGGGAUAGUAGUGCUGGGAAGUUCUGGGGAGUUGCACUUCUGAAUGCUGGCAUGACACUGCCUCAAGACAUCUCUCUAUCCAAAUGGAAAAAACAACCACAUCCUUUGUCAGCUAAGGAGAGUUAGCAAACUGUUUUUAUUAAAUACUGAUGUCUGGCCGGGCACGGUGGCUCACGCCUGUCAUGCUAGCACUUUGGGAGGCCGAGGCGGGUGGAUCACUUGAGGCCAGUAGUUCAAGACCAGCCUGGCCAACAUGGUGAAACCCCAUCUCUACUAAAAAUACAAAAUUAGCCGGGCGUGGUGGCGGGCGCUUGUAAUCCCAGCUACCCGGGAGACUGAGUUAGGAGAAUCGCGUGAACCCAGGAGGCGGAGGUUGCAGUGAGCCGAGAUCGCGCCACUGCACUCCAGCCUGGGUGACGGAGUGGGACUCUGUCUCUAAAUACAUAAAUAAAUAAAUAAAUAAAUAAAUAAAUAAAUAAAUAAAAAUACUGAUGUCUCCAA